AAAAAUACUAUAAUAAUUUCUCCCAAUAACAAUAUUCUUUUAUCAACUUGCAACAAUAAUGUGCAAUCUUGCACUCUCAAAAGACCGCUCAAAAUACAUAAAUUCCAUCCAACACUAGAAAUAACACACUUCACUCCAAUCAAUUUGGAUUCACAUAAUUUUUGUAAUCACAGACUUCUUCUGUCAAAACACACACAACUCUCAAUAAACAACAAUCAUAAUCUUCCAUC
rnacentral:lncRNA from 1 species